rnacentral:rRNA from 1 species
AUUGAACGCUGGCGGCAUGCCUUACACAUGCAAGUCGAACGGUAACAGGUCUUCGGAUGCUGACGAGUGGCGAACGGGUGAGUAAUACAUCGGAACGUGCCCGAUCGUGGGGGAUAACGAAGCGAAAGCUUUGCUAAUACCGCAUAAGAUCUACGGAUGAAAGCAGGGGACCGCAAGGCCUUGCGCGAACGGAGCGGCCGAUGGCAGAUUAGGUAGUUGGGGGGAUAAAAGCUUACCAAGCCGACGAUCUGUAGCUGGUCUGAGAGGACGACCAGCCACACUGGGACUGAGACACGGCCCAGACUCCUACGGGAGGCAGCAGUGGGGAAUUUUGGACAAUGGGCGCAAGCCUGAUCCAGCCAUGCCGCGUGCAGGAUGAGGGCCUUCGGGUUGUAAACUGCUUUUGUACGGAACGAAAAGACUCUGGUUAAUACCUGGGGUCCAUGACGGUACCGUAAGAAUAAGCACCGGCUAACUACGUGCCAGCCGCCGCCGUAAAAC